rnacentral:rRNA from 1 species
AUUGAACGCUGGCGGAAUGCUUUACACAUGCAAGUCGAGCGGCAGCGCGGGGCAACCUGGCGGCGAGCGGCGAACGGGUGAGUAAUGCAUCGGAACGUGCCCAGACGUGGGGGAUAGCCCGGCGAAGGCCGGAUUGAUACCGCAUACGAUCUACGGAUGAAAGCGGGGGCUCGCAAGACCUCGAGAAUUUGGAGCGGCCGAUGGCAGAUUAGGUAGCUGGUGGGGUAAAGGCUUACCAAGCCUACGAUCUGUAGCUGGUCUGAGAGGACGACCAGCCACACUGGGACUGAGACACGGCCCAGACUCCUACGGGAGGCAGCAGUGGGGAAUUUUGGACAAUGGGCGAAAGCCUGAUCCAGCCAUUCCGCGUGCAGGAUGAAGGCCCUCGGGUUGUAAACUGCUUUUGUACGGAACGAAAAGGUCCUGGUUAAUACCCGGGGCUCAUGACGGUACCGUAAGAAUAAGCACCGGCUAACUACGUGCCAGCCGCCGCGGUAA